AAUCAAGAAUUGGCCUAGUCAAGACUUUUCUAGUCGUCAGCUGUCUAGUUUCGGUGCUCAUGUGCCUAUCUUCCUGUUAGUAGCUGACAGGUGUGAAACAUGGAGUGGUCUUCUGCAGCUGUUGCCCAUCCACUUCGAGACUCAACACAUGCUUGAUUAACAUAAUGUUCGUUCAUCAGUGAAGACGUACAAGACAGAAUGGCUCUAGACAGUGGGUCAAGCCAUCCGGCGAGGUUAUCGGAUCUGCAAUGGCAUCAUUCCAGCUUGUUUUGAAAAUAAUAAGCUGUUCAUUUCUCCAUUUAAAUCCUGUCCACUUGACUGUUCUCCUACAGAUGUUGAAGUGAGAUGAGGACAAAGCUCCUA
rnacentral:lncRNA from 1 species